rnacentral:rRNA from 1 species
GAUGAACGCUGGCGGCGUGCCUAAUACAUGCAAGUCGAACGCGAGAGGAGGGAGCUUGCUCCCUCUGAUCGAGUGGCGGACGGGUGAGUAACACGUAGGCAGCCUGCCCAUCAGCCGGGGAUAACUGCGGGAAACCGUGGCUAAUACCGGAUAAUCCUCCCCGCCGCGGGGUGGGGAGUUGAAAGACGGUUUCGGCUGUCGCUGAUGGAUGGGCCUGCGGCGCAUUAGCUGGUUGGCGGGGUAACGGCCCACCAAGGCAACGAUGCGUAGCCGACCUGAGAGGGUGAUCGGCCACACUGGGACUGAGACACGGCCCAGACUCCUACGGGAGGCAGCAGUGGGGAAUAUUGCACAAUGGGCGCAAGCCUGAUGCAGCAACGCCGCGUGAGGGAUGACGGCCUUCGGGUUGUAAACCUCUUUUAGUAGGGAAGAAGCGAAAGUGGCGGUACCUGCAGAAAAAGCACCGGCUAACUACGUGCCAGCAGCAGCCGCAG